rnacentral:lncRNA from 13 species
ACACUUUUGUAUCCAUUUGACAAAACAAGAAAAGGCACAGAAAAACAAAAGCAGUAAUGGACCACACGGGGAUGAAAACAAGCUUUUAACACAUCGGAGACAAAGUGACACGGCUGUUGUUGAUUUUGAAUCCGGCUCUUCAUUGAAAGGCUAUCAGGGUUUAACACUGGCUUGUUAAGCCGCGGUCCUGCAUGUGGUACGUCAGGACGGCACUUCCGUAAACAGUUGGUCUGUAGAAAUGUUAGAGGUUCACGCUAAGUGUUUACAUGAAGGAUGUGGGGAAUGUUGGUUCAUUUCCAACUACACUGACUUUCAUUUGUGUUUCGGGUUGUUUUGCAGGGUUCAAAUCCGGCCGGGGCUAAGGUCAAUGUACAGUGCAUGCUGAGCGGGUCUGUUGCCAUGACGCAGGUGAAGUCAGGUCAGGGCCGGCUGGGAGGAGAGUCACACUUCCUAGAGAGAGGCCUGAGAGCCACCACACCCAGUCCCUCUCCCCAUCUUCCCCUUGUCACACACACACAAUCACAUGGGGAAACGACGAGAGGAAUUGGGGAAACGACAAGAGGAAUUGAGAUCACAUUACACCCUGCCCUAUUGUAUUGUCUAGGCAUGCGUAACAGAAAGCAGCCAAACUAAAGCACAAGGUGAUUUAGCGUUUAGAGACCUUGGGACUAUAUCUAAUUUAUCUUUACAUUUUUAUAAAAAAAUACAUUUUAAGCGAUUUUUUUUUUUUUAACUAAAAGGUUUUCUAUCUGCAAUCCAAUCACAAGCCUGAACAAAUACAGACGGACCAAUCAGAACACGUCUUUGCCAUCUCCCUCUAGGUAUGGUCUAGGCUUGUCUAGGCAGCAAUAAUGGCUGGCAAUGAACAAAAAACAACACUGUAAAUUAUGUUGUCACACUGUUGUUCAGCGAUGACAGUAAUUCGUCUGAUGAUCAUAAUCAAAUUGAAUUUGUCACAUGCGCUGAAUACAACAGGUAAAUGGCAUUACUGUGAAAUGCUUACUUACAAGCCCUUAACCAACAAUAUAUUUCUUAAUGUAUUUGAUGAUGUGUUCUGACUCUUUGUUGGUAAAAUGGUGUUAUUCUAUCAUGUAUGUAUUCAAAUAAUUACAGUCGUAUUAAAAAUGGAACAUGUAGUAUUCAGUAGCGUCUGAUAGAGCUUUAUAGCUGAACCCAGAUUGAUAUCUUCAGAGCCAUAA